GACUGGAAGGUUCUGAGACAUAUUGACAGUUUGACUGGAAGGUUCUGAGACAUAUUGACAGUUUGACUAGAAGGCUCUGAGACAUAUUGACAGUUUGACUGGAAGGUUCUGAGACAUAUUGACAGUUUGACUGGAAGGUUCUGAGACAUAUUGACAGUUUGACUGGAAGGCUCUGAGACAUAUUGAUUGUUUUACUGGAAUGUUCUGAGACAUAUUGACAGUUGAAGGUUCUGAGACAUAUUGACAGUUUGACUAGAAGGCUCUGAGACAUAUUGAUUGUUUUACUGGAAUGUUCUGAGACAUAUUGACAGUUGAAGGUUCUGAGACAUAUUGAGAGUUUGACUAGAAGGCUCUGAGACAUAUUGACAGUUUGACUGGAAGGUUCUGAGACAUAUUGACAGUUUGACUGGAAGGUUCUGAGACAUAUUGACAGUUUGACUAGAAUGUUCUGAGACAUAUUGACAGUUUGACUGGAAGGUUCUGAGACAUAUUGACAGUUGAAGGUUCUGAGACAUAUUGAAAGUUUGACUGGAAGGUUCUGAGACAUAUUGACAGUUGAAGGUUCUGAGACAUAUUGACAGUUUGACUGGAAG
ensembl:lncRNA